rnacentral:misc_RNA from 1 species
AAAAAAAAAAAAACACUGACAUAAAAAGGAUCAGAGUAUGUUCUGGUGGUAUUUUGAUGAGCAUCUUAACCCAAGAAGGUUCUGUUCUAAGCAUCUCGUGCAAAACUAACCAUUCAUCCGUGAGAUACAAAAGCUCAUUUCUGGUUUCAUUGAGGACUUAAUGAUCCAAUGGAAAAUUACAAAAGCUAAGUUACAAAGACUACACUUUGUGAAAAAAGAUGCACUUGUCCUACAAUUAGUA